rnacentral:tRNA from 1 species
GAUGGUGUGCCCGAUUGGAAAAGGGGAUGGACUUAAGAUCCAUUGGCAAUUGCCUUAGUGGGAUCGAUACCCACCACCAUCA